rnacentral:rRNA from 1 species
CCUACGGGUGGCAGCAGUGAGGAAUAUUGGUCAAUGGGCGAAAGCCUGAACCAGCCAAGUCGCGUGAAGGAUGAAGGUUCUAUGGAUUGUAAACUUCUUUUAUAUGGGAAUAAAGUGAGGAACGUGUUCCUUUUUGUAUGUACCUUAUGAAUAAGCAUCGGCUAACUCCGUGCCAGCAGCCGCGGUAAUACGGAGGAUGCGAGCGUUAUCCGGAUUUAUUGGGUUUAAAGGGUGCGUAGGUGGUCAGUUAAGUCAGCGGUGAAAGUUUGUGGCUCAACCAUAGAGUUGCCGUUGAAACUGGUUGACUUGAGUAUAUUUGAGGUAGGCGGAAUGCGUGGUGUAGCGGUGAAAUGCUUAGAUAUCACGCAGAACUCCGAUUGCGAAGGCAGCUGACUAAGCUGGCACUGACGCUGAUGCACGAAAGUGUGGGUAUCAAACAGGAUUAGAUACCCGAGUAGUC